UACGGAGGGUGCAAGCGUUAUCCGGAUUCACUGGGUUUAAAGGGUGCGUAGGUGGGCAGGUAAGUCAGUGGUGAAAUCUCCGAGCUUAACUCGGAAACUGCCGUUGAUACUAUUUGUCUUGAAUAUUGUGGAGGUAAGCGGAAUAUGUCAUGUAGCGGUGAAAUGCUUAGAUAUGACAUAGAACACCAAUUGCGAAGGCAGCUUACUAAAGUAUGAUUGACGCUGAGGCACGAAAGCGUGGGGAUCAAACAGG
rnacentral:rRNA from 1 species